GCAUUAAUGGGGUAGUGGUAACCUGGGUCGUUGCCAGCUGCAAAGUUCGACCCGCCGGGGGUUCGAUUCCCCCUUAAUGCA